GAAAAGGGGAAAAAAGGAGAAAAAGGUGAUGUGGGUGACCCUGGUUUAUCUGGAGAACCUGGCAAAACUGGACCAAAGGGAGAGCAAGGCUUUACUUACUAGAGAAGAUAUAAUUAAAUUAAGGAGAUAUGUGGUUGCACUAUUAAAUGUAAGGAAAUUCCUCUGGAGCUCGUAUUUGUGAUUGACAGCUCUGAGAGUGUGGGACCAGAAAAUUUUGAGAUUAUCAAGGACUUUGUAACUGCUUUAGUAGACAAAGUAAUUGUAGGCAGAAAUGAUACCAGAAUUGGCCUUGUGUUAUACAGUUUAGAAGUUCAGCUCGAAUUUGGUCUCAAUAUGCAUACAACUCAACAGGACGUUAAGCAAGCAAUCAGAAAAACGCGAUACAUGGGAGAAGGCACUCACAUAGGAACUGCUAUCCGUAAAGGAACCCAGGAAGGUUUUUCUGGUG